rnacentral:lncRNA from 1 species
GACCCAUUGGAAAAUAGACUUCAUGAGCUUUCCAACAAGUAUAGGAACGUCCCAGUUGGAGUCCAUAUGACGCCGUGGUGAUCCAUACAAGUUAGAGUUAUUUUCCAGUCCGAAUCCAACUCCCAAAACGUGUUGGGUUUGGACUCUUUGUUUCCUUGCUUUAGAAGCGACGUGGUAACUUGAUAGAGGAUGUUGUGGAGGCUUGGACCUGAUCUCCAAUCACCUUUGUUAAGUUAUCACUCUUCCCAUAUGCAAUCAGCCCUUGAAGUUGGUGUUGCCUCAAAUUCUGAAUGCAGUUGAACCUUCCCUUGCUGAUCUUGUCCAUUAUUCCUGAGCAACACGAAAGUGCACGUGUCUCCAUUGUCUAAAUAUGAUCGACAAGAGUUUAAAACUGAACUUACUUGAAGGUUGAGUUGACGGGCACGAGCACGAGCACGAGUAAGAGGACCAGCUAUAGGUUGUGUCGGAGAGGAUGUAGGACCAGGACCAGCUAUAGGUUGUGUCGGAGAGGAUGUAGGACUAGGACCAGCUAUAGGUUGUGUCGGAGAGGAUGUAGGAGAGGAUGUAUCGCUGGUGUUGAUGUCCUCAUCAUCCUCCCUUUCUUGCAUUUGAGUCGUCCUCGACUCAAGCUCAUCUUCCUCACCCAAAUAUGGCUUCAAAUCUGCAAUGUUAAAUGUGGGACUAACCCCAAAAUCUGCAGGAAGAUCAAGCUUAUAUGCAUUCUCAUUAAUUCGUUGUAGCACUUUAAAUGGUCCAGCAGCUCUAGACAUCAAUUUAGAUUUUCUGAACGUAGGAAAGGAUUCAAUAAAUUCUACCCACUUAGCAUGUCUGCGAUUUAGUUUUCCUUGACUACGAAUAUGUUUUAAAGAUUCAUGAUCAGAAUGAAUAACAAACUCUUUGGGCCACAAAUAAUGUUGCCAUGUUUCUAAAGUUCGGACAAGAGCAUACAAUUCUUUAUCAUAAGUUGAAUAGUUCACAAACUGAUGUGAACCCACUAGGGUUUUCGCCUGAUCUUUCGAUGAGAGGCGCUGGAUAACUCGAUUAGUGAAUGGAGAUGACGUUCACGGCCCGACUACAGCCCUCAAGACUGCGCCUUAGCAACCGAUACACCGCCUCCAGUGGCUGUCACGAUCUUGUGGAGCGCAACACCCGGCCACUAGGGCACUCGUCCUGCAAGCAAUCUCCCAAGUAAUGUAUGCAUCAGGGUCAUAUUUACCAUCAAAAGGAGGUAUUUUAGAUUUAAUCUUACUGAAAGCAUCAUUAUUAUUGUGUACCUCGCGUCGGUGGUGGCCACCCAUACCUCUACGGGUGUGACGUAGGCGACGUCGAUGAUGAGUGUCUUGAUCAUCUCGUUCCGUAUCAGCAGUGUAAUCAUCAUCAUAAUUGCCAUCCACUCGGUCUUCCUCCUUGUUUUCUUCCUUAUGCUUCUCUUUGUCCAUUGUGUGGAAAGCAUCAAAUCGCCUUAGGAGAGCAGCAAGGCUUUUGUCCACACUAGCAACGGAUUCCUCCAAACUUGUGAGCUUGUUGUUUGUGGCAAUCUGCGUAGCCUCCAACUGUCCCAGAUUUUCAUUUGUCACCUGUAAGUCGUUAUCAAGUCCCUCUGUGUGCAGCUUCACUUUCCUUUCAAAAUGUUGUAUGAUGCCCUUAGUGCGAGGUGUAAGUGGUGUUUCGUUACCAUCAUCUACCCCUGGCAUGGUUCAAAGACAAAGACAACAAAAAGGCAAGUGAAGAAAUAAAAGCCCUACAACUACUAGGAUGUAGCUACAGCAAGUCGCUCACACUCAACCUGUAACACAAGUUCUUACCAAUUCUUACCUUGCUUGACAGGAGGGGUCAUCUGCCAACAAGUGUACAGCAAUGGACGAAGUGUAUCGGUGCUGCAACACAAGACCUGUCAAGCUGUAGAGUAUGUGGAGCUAUAGGAGGGCUGAAACAAGGAACGAACUAGCACCACGUUAGUUAUAAAAGCGAGCUGAAUAAACGCUCAACGGUGGUACUGUGCUGGUCCUAGCCUAGACCGUGCUAGAGACGCGAGUCUGGACACAAAGGGAAAACACAGCACACCACUAGAAACAAAAUGAGCAGCCCUACUGGAAACAAAAGGAACAACAAUCUCCUUUUUUUUAUUUUUUUCUUUUUUCUUUCUUUCUUUCUUUUUUUUCUUUAUUUUUUUUCUCUUUUCUUUUUUUUUGGGAACCUCAAAACCUGAUUAUAUAAACAAAAUAGUACAAAAUAUCACUUCACCACUCUCACCCUCUCACUAGAGUAAGGCGAAACCUCAAAAUUCAAUAUAUCUAGCACAAGUAUGAAGUGCUAUCUUUCCUUUUGGAUCACGUUGAUGGAAACGCAGAAUAGACCAACAAGUGGCUGCACCUAUUAUCAAGAUCUACUCAAAUUCCAACCCACAAUAGAUUGGACGCAGUUGUGACUAGAUGGUGACAAGAACUCAAAACUCUAAAGGACUAAACUAAAACCAGCACUGGACACGACCGAAGCAAACACUCAUUCAACCAGCCCUAACUAAGUAGUACUAGCCACGGCACAAAGGAUUUUUAGGAUUAUGGAAAACAAAUCUGCUAUAUUUUUUUGUCUUUUUUUGGACUAUAGGAAAAACAAACAAGAAGAAUUGGAAAUCUCUCACCGAUAAACCUUGCUCUGAUACCAACUGAUGUUAACCCACUAGGGUUUUCGCCUGAUCUUUCGAUGAGAGGCGCUGGAUAACUCGAUUAGUGAAUGGAGAUGACGUUCACGGCCCGACUACAGCCCUCAAGACCGUGCCUUAGCAACCGAUACACCGCCUCCAAUGGCUGUCACGAUCUUGUGGAGCGCAACACCCGGCCACUAGGGCACUCGUCCUGCAAGCAAUCGAAGAACCAGCAAGAACAAGUAGAACAAGUACUAAAUUACUAGAUGUAAAUGAAGGUUUCAAACUCAAUCUCUAAUGAAGUGGG